UGUAUCGGAAGCCUGACGAGGAUGAGAACCUCCGGGGGCAAGAGGUUCGACUCGAGCGCAGCGAGAGAACGUUGCGUCAGCAACGGCCCGCAGGGCGAGCCACGC
rnacentral:sRNA from 3 species